rnacentral:rRNA from 1 species
UAAAGUGGAUUAGCGGCGGACGGGUGAGUAACACGUGAGUAACCUGCCUUAGACAUUGGGAUAGCCUCGGGAAACCGGGAUUAAUACCAAAUAAAAUCAUAAUGACACAUGUCAUAACGAUCAAAACUCCGGUGGUUUAAGAUGGACUCGCGUCCCAUUAGCUAGUUGGUAGAGUAAAAGCCUACCAAGGCGACGAUGGGUAGCCGGCCUGAGAGGGUGAACGGCCACAUUGGAACUGAGAAACGGUCCAA